rnacentral:rRNA from 1 species
GCGACCCUAGGUGGGGCAGGAUUACCCGCUGAAUUUAAGCAUA